rnacentral:precursor_RNA from 15 species
GGCGUGAUUGUGACCUUCUGUCCAACAGAACAAAACACUGUCCGGUCCUGUGCUUACGGCUGUGCGUCCGCAGGACAGGGCAGUGUUUUAUUCUGUUGUCCAUAGUAUCACAAUGAGAGCCA